GAGGAGUUUGAUUCUUGCUUAUCUCCUAGUGGGUUUUUAGGGUACAUGAAAGUUUACGUUCAGUUUUGGUUGGUUGUAGAUGCGGCCUAUGACAAGCUAGGGUUCUCAGUACAUAGGAUUGGUGUAUGAAGAGGUCUUUGACCCAGUAAUUAAAUUAAGUUCAGGCUAAAAUUGUGCCAGCAGCCGCGGUUAUACUGAUAGAACAAAUAGGAGUGUGUCAGAGUCGGGGUGCGUGGGACUUUAAGUCGGGCUGGUGUAACUUAGUCGAAACGGUGAAAUUUAAUAUAUCGUAGUAGCUUUGGUUCGACACGAGGAUCCCGAAGUCUCCUAAGGCCAAGAUUUAAAAUAGGAUUAGAUACCCUAUUAUACUCGGUUGAAAUUAUAAUAAUUCUUGAGUAGUAAACAGGUAUGAUCUCGAAACUCAAAGGAUUUGGCGGUAUCUAAGUCUGGUUAGAGGAAUUUGUGCAGUAAACGAUAGUCCGCGAGCAUCUAGCCCUGCUUUGUAGAUUCAGUUUGUAUACCGCCAUUAUUAGGUAAUCUUGAUGGAGAAUUGCUAGGAUUAAGGUUGCGUUAAGUAUAUUAGGUCAAGGUGCAGCUUAUAGCAGGGAUGUCGUGAAUUACAUUGAAAUGAGUAUACAUACGGACAGAUCGUGGUAGCGCGUUCUUAAAGGUGGAUUUAAUUGUAAGGUAGGUACAUGGUGCUUGUUUGAUAGGAGCUCUUAGAUAUGUACACAUCGCCCGUCGUUCUCACUUUAAGGUGAGGUAAGUCGUAACAUAGUAGGUGUGUUGGAAAAGGCACCUAGAGUUAA
rnacentral:ncRNA from 1 species